GAUGAACGCUGGCGGCGUGCCUAAUACAUGCAAGUAGAACGCUGAAGGAGGAGCUUGCUCUUCUGGAUGAGUUGUGAACGGGUGAGUAACGCGUAGGUAACCUGCCUGGUAGCGGGGGAUAACUAUUGGAAACGAUAGCUAAUACCGCAUGACAACAGUUAUUGCAUGAUAACUGUUUAAAAGGGGCAACUGCUCCACUACCAGAUGGACCUGCGUUGUAUUAGCUAGUUGGUGAGGUAACGGCUCACCAAGGCGACGAUACAUAGCCGACCUGAGAGGGUGAUCGGCCACACUGGGACGGAGACACGGCCCAGACUCCUACGGGAGGCAGCAGUAGGGAAUCUUCGGCAAUGGACGGAAGUCUGACCGAGCAACGCCGCGUGAGUGAAGAAGGGUUUCGGAUCGUAAAGCUCUGUUGUAAGAGAAGAACGAGUGUGAGAGUGGAAAGUUCACACUGUGACGGUAUCUUACCAGAAAGGGACGGCUAACUACGUG
rnacentral:rRNA from 1 species